GCCAUCGAUAGGCUUUUACCUGGGGAGUAACACAGGCAGGGGUGCGUGCAUGUACGUUGCUCUGGCUACAGCUGGAGAGUGAAUGGGAGGAGACAGUAGUGGAAGCACAUAUUUCCCACCCCACAGGCUAGUAUAGCAGUCCAGGUGAAAAAAGAGCCCCCAGGGACAGAUAUGCAGGUUGCUCACUGUUCAAGAGCAGCUGGCCGAGGAGGGCUAGUCAGAACAAGAAUAGAGGCCCACUCCACUCACCAAGCCAUGAGCCCUGGCACAGAGCUGAGUCUGGCCGAAGGAAAAGGUGACCUUUUCCUUAUUUGCUCAAAGGCAUCGCUGCCCACUGGGCUGUGCAUCGAAUGGGCUGCAUCUGUGUGAAAGGGGUACCUUGUUCUGUGUUCACUAAGGAGCCACAUGGGCUAGCAGAAGCCCUACAAGGGUAAGUGGUGGCUUGGACCAGAGUGAGGUGAUCCAGAUGGUGAGAACCAGCCCACCUGUAGGUGCAUUUUGGGGGCAGAAAUGGCAGGAGUUUGUAAUGACCCAAAUGGGAAUGAGGAUGAGAAAAGGGUCAGAGAUGAAAGCCACAUUUCUGGCAAGAACCUCUAGAGGAUGCAGGAGGGACAGACUUGGAGAGAAAGAUCAUGACUGCCCCUAGUGGUACCAUCUUGUGGCCUUCUGGUUAGAAACCAUAGGCUGGCAGCUGGGGCCCAGGCCCAGUGGACAGAGACUGAUCACAUUCCAAGUCUUUGGCACCCAACAAGGCCACAAGGGUAGAGUUUAACAUGAAAUCUGAGGGGUGAGCCAUGGGUAUUUGCUCCAUUGGUUUCAUACAUUUUAAUAUUUAAACAUUUCAGUGUUAACCAAAAAAAAAAAUGAACUAGGAAUCAAAAGGGGCUCUAAAGUACAAUUGAGUUUGCCUAGCGAGUCUAUUAUUAACCAGUCAAAAACCUAAUAGUCAAGCUGAAGGGCCAGAGGUCUGCGAUCUGUCCCCAUGCCCUCCUUCACUGUAUUCUCACUGGCGUCUGUGGUCUCCUCAGAACUCAGUGGUCUUGGUUUCCAUUCAGGCUUUUCAUCCUUCCUCACAGCCAUAAACAAUGAUAAUGAGAAUUUAUUGACAUGAAAAAAGUCAAAAUACAGCUCCAAGAAAUAAAAAACUAUAAAACAGUAGGUUUUAACUCAUUUUUGGAAAAAUAUAACUUGAAACUAAUGUACAGACAUAAGCAUGCAGAGAGAAAAGUCUGAGCGAUCAUACCAAAUGCUGGCAGCAGCUGUCUCUGGAUGGAGGACUUAACGGGUCAUUCUCUGUGCAAAAGAUGGAGCUUGGAGUGUGCUGAGGCUUCAGGCUCUUACCUUCAGAUGGUGAAAAAGAGGCUUGGGAAUCUACCUGGCUCUGCUCAGCGGGAUCUAAGAGUCCAAAGGCACCUAGCUAAGAUCACGAACUCCUAAAGUCUACUGCAGGCCUCCCACUGGCCAAACCCAAGCAGAAGCCAAGGAGGAGUCGUCUUGCUGCCAUACAGGCAUACAGGAAUUUAGCCUCCAACCCAACACUAGGGAAUACAAGGUGUAUCAUGACAAGGUCAACAGAAAUAAAUUUGUAGAGAUGAACUGCUUUGUUUGCUGCCACAAGUAUCUGAAAUGGAUCAACAAUCUACCAAAAAGAACAGAAAGAAUUACACAUGGAGCAUCUAGAGAUGCAUGCCUUAUCUCUUGGUAACUCCAAUGUCAGGCUGUUUUUACUUCAUCACAACUUCUAUGGACUAUGUUUUCAAAAUUGCUGGGUGCUCAGAAAAUCACAGAAUUUUAAAGCUGCAAGAAACUUAAAUAGUAAACAUUUUUAAAAGAAUGUUACAGGAAAAGCUAUAUUCUAAACAUUUUACGUGUAUUAUUUUAAUCCUUAAAACUACCCUGUGAAAUCGGUGUUAUUCAUAUGCAGUGGAUGAGGAAACCAAAGCAAAGAAUGUCUGGAUUUGAAUCCCAGCUCUGUCACUUACCACUGAGGGG